GGGGCUGGAGCUUGGUGGUAGAGUGCUUGCCUAGCAUGCAUGAGGCAAUGGGUUUGAUCCUCAGCACCA
rnacentral:tRNA from 1 species